GCCUUCGAAGCUAAAGUGGAUAGCAUUCGGCUCUUAACCGAAUUAUAGUGGGUUCGAGUCCCUCCGAAGGCA
rnacentral:tRNA from 1 species